UACGAAGGGGGCUAGCGUUGCUCGGAAUCACUGGGCGUAAAGGGUGUGUAGGCGGUUCUUUUAAGUUUGCUGUGAAAUCUCCCGGCUUAACCGGGAGGGUGCGGUGAAUACUGAGGGACUAGAGUACGGGAGAGGAAAGUGGAAUUCCUGGUGUAGCGGUGAAAUGCGCAGAUAUCAGGAGGAACACCGGUGGCGAAGGCGGGUCUCUGGGCCGUAACUGACGCUGAGGAGCGAAAGCAUGGGGGAGCGAACAGG
rnacentral:rRNA from 1 species